rnacentral:rRNA from 1 species
UACGGAGGGAGCUAGCGUUGUUCGGAAUUACUGGGCGUAAAGCGCGCGUAGGCGGCUUUGUAAGUUAGAGGUGAAAGCCCGGGGCUCAACCCCGGAACAGCCUUUAAGACUGCAUCGCUAGAAUCCGGGAGAGGUGAGUGGAAUUCCGAGUGUAGAGGUGAAAUUCGUAGAUAUUAGGAAGAACACCGGUGGCGAAGGCGGCCCACUGGUCCGGUACUGACGCUGAGGUGCGAAAGCGUGGGGAGCAAACAGG